GGAAAAGGGAAACCCCCCUUUGUUUGAUGGUGGAUUUUCUGUUACCGGCACGUGAAGACUGAAAACCUGACACGUCACGUCACAAAAUGUUGUUUCUAAUCGGUUUGGGCCUUGGGGAUGUUAAAGAUAUUACAGUAAAAGGAUUGGAAGCCGUAAAGAAGGCCAAACGUGUUUAUUUAGAGGCUUACACAUCUAUUUUGACCGUAGGCAAAGAAGCACUGGAGGAGUACUAUGGACGUGAAAUCAUUUUAGCAGACCGUGACCUGGUUGAACAAGGAUCAGAUGAGAUCUUUGAAGGUGCUAGGACAGAGGAUAUCGCAUUUUUGGUUGUUGGAGAUCCGUUCGGAGCAACUACACAUACAGACUUGGUACUACGAGCCAAGCAGGAAGGGAUUGAUUACAAGGUCAUCCAUAAUGCUUCUAUCAUGAAUGCAAUCGGUUGCUGUGGUUUGCAGCUCUACAAUUACGGAGAGACCAUCUCGAUAGUGUUUUGGACGGAUACAUGGAAACCGGAUAGUUACUAUGAUAAGAUUGCAUCCAAUCGAUCAAGAGGCCUUCACACGCUCUGUCUUCUCGACAUCAAGAUGAAGGAGCAGAGUAUAGAGAAUCUUAUCAAAGGGCGUAAGAUCUUUGAGCCACCUCGCUUCCUUACAGUACCACAGGCAGCAUCUCAACUUCUUGAAAUUUUGGACCAGAGGAAAGAGAGGGGAGAUGAUUAUACAGCCUACACUGAAGAUGCAAUUUGUAUAGGGGUCGCUAGAGUAGGUUCUGACACUCAACAAAUCAUAUCUGGGACGCUACGAGAGCUGACCUCUGUUGACCUUGGGGAUCCUCUUCACUCAUUGGUCAUCGCUGGUCACAUGCAUCCCGUUGAGCUUGAAAUGUUAAAGCAGUUUGCUGUUACUCCUUCCAUUUUCGAUGCAUUACUUCAAGAAAGCAGAUAGCAUAGAUUAUGAUUGUAAUUUAUAUAUGUAUUUCUUUCUGUCGUUUUCCUCCUUCAAUGUUUUUCCUGUUCUCUGACUUUCUUAUAUUUCUGUCAAAUUCUAUUCUCUACCUCUAGAUAUAAGUAUCUCAUAUCAAUCUCUUUUGUUUUCAUUACUCCUUUAUUAGACCGUAUCCCAUCUCUCCCUCUCCUUUUCUCUCUUAUUCCUACCUUAUUCUCACUCAUCUCCCUUCCAUUUUGUUCUCUCCCCCCCUCUCUCUCUCUUUCCUUCCCCCUCUCUUCCGCUCUUAUUUUCCCCACUCUUUCUCUCCUCCCAUUCUAUAUCUUACAGCCCUCUGUCAUUCUUCUCUCCUUUGCCAUUCCCCCUUUCUCACUGUGUAAAGUUUGUUUGAAUAACAUCUUUAAGAAUAGUAUUCUUUCAUGUUCUUGUAUUGAAGUAAAUAUAUUAUUUUAUCACCCAAUUUUAUCGUAAGAAGAAAAUUUAAUUUUUUGUAAGGUAUGGAAAUAGAUAGAAUUCACAUUUUGCAAAAGGCAUAGUAAACUUUACCCUCCCAAACCCUAUCUCCCCCCCCCCCCUCUCUCAUUUCCCUAGUUUACUUUCUUGCUCCCCGUUCUCACUGUGUAAUGGGCUGUUUGGUAUUUGGUGUUGCUAUUGGGCAGAUUUUUCCAUCACUAAAUUUUCCACCAAAUUUGAAAUGAAGUUGGUUUUGGGAUGAACCUCACUAGGUUUUGGAAUUUAAAUAGUGUGAUUUUGAUCAUUUGGAUAAACUCAGAAAAGGGAAAGGGGAUGCUAGAGCUAAGAGGGAAAUCUCAAUCAUGAUCCCAACACCAAAACUAGCACAGAACUUGAAAUCACCCACUUUUGAAUAUUCAUGUACUUCUGGUUUCAUUCUCCUUUAAAACAAAAGAUAAGUUAUAUACAAUAUGAAGUUUUUUCUAUAAUAGAUGUUAAGUAUUUACAGCAAGUUCAUUGUGAAGGCAGAUACAUCAUUUAGGUCCAUAGAAUCAGAACAGUAUAAGUAUACACACAUACAAAGUCCCUUGAACAUAACUUUACUACUUGUAGUCAUGGAAACUCUGCAAAGAGCAUGUAAUCGCAAUACAGAUUCACAUGAUUGGUUUCCAUAUUAAUCUUGUCUAAGAGUGAUCUACAUUCUGAUUGUGUAGGUUCAACUCAAGUAUAAAAUCUUCCUAUAGAUUUAGCUACAGUAAAAAGUGAUAUAUUUAGUCCACUGUAGAGAUGGCAUAGAUCAAAUAUAAACUAAAUUUUGUUCACUUAUAGAUCACAUGAUCAAAAAUUCAGUCAUAGAUAUGUUGAGAG